rnacentral:rRNA from 1 species
GACGAACGCUGGCGGCGUGCUUAACACAUGCAAGUCGAACGGAAAGGCCCUGCUUUUGUGGGGUGCUCGAGUGGCGAACGGGGGAGUAACACGUGAGUAACCAGCCCCUGACUUUGGGAUGACUUCAGGAAACUGGGGCUAAUACCGGCAAGGAGCUCCUGCUGCAGGGUGGGGGUUGGAAAGUUUCGGCGGUUGGGGAUGGACUCGCGGCUUAUCAGCUCGUUGGUGGGGUAGUGGCUUACCAAGUCUUUGACGGGUAGCCGGCCUGGGAGGGUGACCGGCCACCUUAGGCCUGCGAUACGGCCCAGCCCCCAACGGUACGCAGCAGUGGGGAGUAUUGUACAGUGGGCGGAAGCCUGAUGCGGCAACGCCGCGUGCGGGAUGACGUCCUUCGGGUUGUGAACCGAUUUCGCCUGUGACGAAGCGUGAGUGACGGUAAUGGGUAAAGAAGCACCGGCUAACUCCGUG